GCACGAAGUUAGCCGGGGCUUAUUCUGCGGGUACCGUCAUUAUCGUCCCCGCCAAAAGAGCUUUACAAUCCGAAGACCUUCGUCACUCACGCGGCAUGGCUGGAUCAGGCUUGCGCCCAUUGUCCAAUAUUCCCCACUGCUGCCUCCCGUAGGAGUCUGGGCCGUGUCUCAGUCCCAGUGUGGCUGGUCAUCCUCUCAGACCAGCUACUGAUCGUCGCCUUGGUGAGCCAUUACCUCACCAACUAGCUAAUCAGACGCGGGCUCAUCUAUCGGCGAUAAAUCUUUCCCCCGAAGGGCGUAUGCGGUAUUACCCCAAGUUUCCCUGAGCUAUUCCGUACCGAUAGGAAGAUUCCCACGUGUUACUCACCCGUCUGCCACUCUGCAUUGCUGCAGCGUUCGACUUGCAUGUGUUAGGCCUGCCGCCAGUGUUCGUU
rnacentral:rRNA from 1 species